rnacentral:rRNA from 1 species
GACGAACGCUUGCGGCGUGCUUAACACAUGCAAGUCGACCGGAAAGGCCACUUCGGUGGUACUCGAGCGGCGAACGGGUGAGUAACACGUGAGUAAUCUGCCCCUGGCUUUGGGAUAGCCACCGGAAACGGUGAUUAAUACCGGAUACGACCACUUCUCGCAUGGGAUGGUGGGGGAAAGUUUUUUCGGCCAGGGAUGUGCUGGCGGCCUCUGAGCUUGUUGGUGAGGUAAUGUCUCACCAUGGCUUCGACGGGUAGCCGGCCGGAGGGGGGGACCGGUGACACGGGGACGGAGACACGGACCAGACUCCGACGGGGGGCAGCAGUGGGGAAUAUUGGACAAUGGGCGGAAGCGUGAGCCAGCAGCGCCGCGUGAGGGAUGACGGCCUUCGGGUUGUAGACCUCUUUCAGCAGGGACGAAGCGCAAGUGACGGUACCUGCAGAAGAAGCACCGGCCAACUACGUGCCAGCAGCCGCCGCCG